CUGAAGAGAACACUAAGGGUGUGGCUGGACAGUCAUUUGAUAAGGAGAUCAGGUGUGAGUCAUAAACUUGAUCAGCCAUCUCAGCAGAAGCUAGGAAUAGAGAUGGGCUUAUACCAACAGAAUCACUGCCAGAUAAGACUAAAAAGGACAGAAAAAAAUGAGAUGAAAGAAAGGAAGACCAUCAGACUUUUUAUAGAAGCAGAACCAUAGAGUUCUUCAGCUGUGAACAUGCACUAUUCUUUCAGAAAGGGAAGAAUGACUCUGAAGCUUCUUCAUGGAUCUAAAAGGAGAUUCAUCUUUAUUCUGAACAUGGUUUCCCUGCUGAGUCACUCUCAGGCUCUCCUUAACCUUCAAAUCACGAAGAUUUGUACUGUUUGCUUGGAAGGAAUUUUAACAGGAGUGAUGAAAUUAAGAAGAUGACUUGAUAAAAUUCACUGAGAAUCUUAGAUGUUCAGGACCAGUUGAGAGACACAAGAAGCUGAAAGGCAGAGAUGAAAAAAAUAUCUGUUUAGCCUGGCUGGUGUGGCUUAGCAAUUGAGCAUCGACCCAGGAAUGAAGAGGUCCUGGUUCAAUUUCUGGUCAGGACACAUGCCUGGGUUGCAGGCUC